AUGCUUGCUUCGGCAGCACAUACACGAAAAUUGAAAUGAUACAGAGAAGAUUAGCAUGACCCCUGCACAAGGAUGACACACAAAUUCGUGAAGCAUUCCAUAUUUUU
rnacentral:snRNA from 1 species